rnacentral:rRNA from 1 species
GAUGAACGCUGGCGGCGUGCCUAAUACAUGCAAGUCGAGCGAACAGACGAGACGCUUGCUUCUCUGUCGUUUGCGGCGGACGGGUGUGUAACACGUGGAUCCCCUACCUAUCAUACUGGGAUCACUUCGGGACACCGGCGCUUACCCCGUAUAAUAUUUUGCACCGCAUGGUUCAAAAGUGAAAGACGGUCUUGCUGUCUCUUCUCGCUGCAUACGCGCUGCAUUAGCUAGUUGGUAAGGUAACGGCUUACCAAGGCAACGAUGCAUAGCCGAAGUGAGAGGGGGAUCGCCCACACUAGAACGGAGACAGGGACCAGAGUCCUACGGGAGGCAGCAGAAGGGAAUCUUCCGCAAUGGGCGAAAGCCUGACAGAACAACGGCGCGUGAGAGAUGGAGGUCUUCGGAUCGUAAAACUCUCUUAUUAGUGAAGAACAGAUGUGGAAUGAACUGUACACAGCUUGACGGUACCGAAUCAGAAAGCAACGGCUAACUACGUG